ACAUAACCCACCCCCACUCGAUCAAACGUUUUUUUUUUGUUGGUAUUGGCUCUCUCCUCUUCUAUUUUCUUUGAAUAGUCUUCUUAUCAAUCGUCGUCUCCAAAGUCCUUGACGUUCUCAGAUUGUAUGUUGAGAAGAAUUAUAUUGAGUGCUCUGGUUCGUUGAAUUGGCAUAAGGAAAGAUUGAGAGAGCUCGAAACGAAGAUUACUUCAUUGCAAGAGGAACUCAGCUCGUGCAAAGAUGCAGCAACUACGACUGAAGAGCAAUACAGUGCUGAGCUUCUCACUGUGAGUUUUCAAAGACAUGUUACAGAUCUACCUAGUUGUUGCUUAGUCCAAAAUUGAGAAGUAUGAAGCAGAAAUUGAGAAAACUCGGAAAACAGAUGAACUAACGCUUGUACCUUUCAGCAGUUUCACAAGAGGGGUUGACGUUUCUGGGACCAGCAACAUGAUAGAGGAAAGCCAUGAAAUAAUUUCCAAGGUUCCUGCUGGUGUGUCAGGAACGGCACUGGCAGCAUCACUCCUACGUGACGGAUGGAGUCUGACCAAAAUUUAUGAGAAGUAUCAAGAGGCUGUUGAUGCUAUGAGACAUGAGCAGUUAGGUCGAAAGGAAGCGGAGUUGAUACUACAACGGGUUUUAUUCGAAUUAGAAGAGAAAGCGGGGUUCUUCCAAGAGGAAAGAGAUUUGUGCUUCAGAAGGUGUGUUCAAAUCGUUAGAGAUUCUGAGGGAGAUUUCAAGUGUAUCAGACUUCUGCGACAGGUAUAUGCUUUUCAAACCUCUUUGUAAUCAGUUGAGUCUCAUGUAGUUUAUAGUUUUUAUUUGCUCUCUGCAGGGUUAUCCAUUUAAUCCUUUCGAUUUCCUCUUUGCAGUUUUUAUAAUUGAACUUUGGUUUUUGUAUGAGAGCGUCUUGCAUUUUACAUUAUGCAUCAAUUUUUGGUUGUAUGUGCCAUCUGCAUUAUGCACCUUAUACACGUUUCCAUUUUGCAUUUUGCAAUGCAUUAUGCAUCAUGUCUUGCAGUCUUAUAGUUAAGUUUGGAUGUUUGAGCAAUUAUGACAUUCUAGUAAAUUUAUAAAUUAUUUUUAUUGUUGUAUGAGCGUCUUACAUUUUACAUCAUGCAUAAACUUCGGUUGGUGUAUGCACAUUCUGCAUCAUAUCAUAUACACUUCUGCAUUUUGCAUUUUACAAUACAUUCUGCAUUAUGCAUCAUGUUCUUGCAAUUUUGUUGUUAAAUUUGAAUGUCUCAUAGAUUUAUGACAUUAUAGAUUUAUGUCUCAUACUCUGUAAAUAUGCUAACACGAUGAUCAAAAAUAUAUUUGGUAUGAUACUAGUGUAUGUCAUUGCCUCUAUGAUAUUUAUUUAAAAUCUAUUGAAUCGUGCUGUAUUUGUUUUUUGAUGUUAGUUUUCUUGAUAAAAAUGUUUUAUGAGUCUUUGUAACCUUCUAAAGAUGAUAGAAUUAGAAUAUGUCAGAUUCAAAUAUUCAAUCAUUAUUCAUUAGACAUAUUUUUUGAAUUUGAGUUUCUUAAAAAAUGAAUCUGUCUUGAUUUUCUAACAUGGUCAAAUGAUAUACCAUCUUUACUUUAAAAUAAAUGUUUGGAAUAGUUAAGUGUGGUAAAUUAGUUGUUAUUUUCCUAGAAAUAUAUGUUGAUACCUAAUGAAGGUUCGUCUCUGUUUAUGAUUGAUAAUACAUGUUUAAUGUUUUAUGAGUAUACUAGGUGGUUGCCCGUAAUUUUACAUGUAUAAAUAUUAUAUGAAAAUUAUAUAUUAUAGUUAUAAUUUUUUGAUUUAAAUAAUAACUAUAAUUAUAAAAUUUUAAAUAUUUCAAAAUCAAAAAUUUUGGUAUUUUAUAAUUUUUGAAGAAUUUUGAAAUACAUUGAAAAUUAUAUAAAUACUAAUUUAAGUUUUCUAAAGUAUUUUUAUGACAUAAUUUUGAUUAAUACAAAUCUGAGGAUUAAUGAACAAAAACUCCUUUUAUUAAAAUAAUCUCUAUGGUAAUGAGCUAAGCUAAUGAUAAUCAAAUUCUAAUAAACGCAAAACCCCUUUUAUUAAAUUCCACAAGCGACAACACAAACAUCACACUCCACAAACAUCACACUCAAGCACAAACAGAAAAACAUAGCCAUCAAGAGGCCUCAAUCCACCAGUAGGCCUCUGACAUAACUUUAUUCAUAUUUGGAAAUCAAAGAACCAACCCACAACAAGCUUUUCAUUUGGUGACUGGUGCAACAUAGACUCCAAUUUGAUGAACCCAAUCGCUAGC